GGGGGUAUAUUUUAAUUAGGUAGAAAAUAUGUUUUGCAAAUAUAUAGUAUAGGUUCAAAUCCUAUUAUCUCCA
rnacentral:tRNA from 1 species